rnacentral:rRNA from 1 species
GAUGAACGCUGGCGGCGUGCCUAAUACAUGCAAGUCGAGCGAACGGACGAGAAGCUUGCUUCUCUGAUGUUAGCGGCGGACGGGUGAGUAACACGUGGAUAACCUACCUAUAAGACUGGGAUAACUUCGGGAAACCGGAGCUAAUACCGGAUAAUAUUUUGAACCGCAUGGUUCAAAAGUGAAAGACGGUCUUGCUGUCACUUAUAGAUGGAUCCGCGCUGCAUUAGCUAGUUGGUAAGGUAACGGCUUACCAAGGCAACGAUGCAUAGCCGACCUGAGAGGGGGAUCGGCCACACUGGAACUGAGACACGGUCCAGACUCCUACGUGAGGCAGCAGUAGGGAAUCUUCCGCAAUGGGCGAAAGCCUGACGGAGCAACGCCGCGUGAGUGAUGAAGGUCUUCGGAUCGUAAAACUCUGUUAUUAGGGAAGAACAUAUGUGUAAGUAACUGUGCACAUCUUGACGGUACCUAAUCAGAAAGCCACGGCUAACUACGUG